GGACAGGUGGCCUAGCUUGGAUAUGGCGGCAGCCUCCUAAGCUGCAAGCCAAGGGUUCGAAUCCCUUCCUGUUCGCCA
rnacentral:tRNA from 1 species